UAACUGGAUGUUUUCACAUCCACUAACUUCUAUUUUAGGAAAAGU
rfam:Myotis davidii contig101022, whole genome shotgun sequence.